AGGACGAACGCUGGCGGCGUGCUUAACACAUGCAAGUCGAGCGGUAAGGCCUUUCGGGGGUACACGAGCGGCGAACGGGUGAGUAACACGUGGGUGAUCUGCCCUGCACUCUGGGAUAAGCCUGGGAAACUGGGUCUAAUACCGGAUAUGACCUGCUCUCGCAGUGGGGGGUGGUGGAAAGAUUUAUCGGUGCAGGAUGGGCCCGCGGCCUAUCAGCUUUGGUUGGUGGGGUAAUGGCCUACCAAGGCGACGACGGGUAGCCGACCUGAGAGGUGACCGGCCACACUGGGACUGAGACACGGCCCAGACUCCGUACGGGAGGCAGCAGUGGGGAAUAUGCACAACGGGCGAAAGCCUGAUGCAGCGACGCCGCGUGGAGGAUGAAGGUCCGUUCGGGUUAGUAAACCUC
rnacentral:rRNA from 1 species